GGCACUUCUGCGGCGGAGCGGGCUCAUGAGCGCCGACCGGCCCUGCCCGGCAACGCGCAGGGCAUCAAGUCCCGGGGUCCCCGCGGAAGCCCCGGGCUCAGGAGCCAGGGCUCGGGAGCCCCGGGCUCGAGCCCACGCCACGGACCCCGCUCCUCUGCGUCCAGCGGGCGAGGCCCCGCCUCCGAGGGCGGUGCUUCCCCGGACCCCGCCCCCGGCGGGAGAUGGGGAGGGUCCCGGCGGAGGUGGCGGGGGAGGGACUGUGAUCUCAUGUUUGGUGAAUCCAGUCUGUGGGAACCUGGAGGGACUAAGCUGAGACUGGAGGCCUCCAGAGAAGGUGUGCACGUGCUCCCGCCAGGCACCUCACUGCUGCCAACCUGCAACUACUUCAACUAAUUCCAAACCACCCAGGGUGACUCCACGGCCAGUGAGCCAAAGGUCUCUGAGACCACAGCAUUCUUCUUGACCAUCAUGGUGACCACGCCUGCCUGGCCACAUGGCCUCUGCCACCCCAGGAUCUCUUCACUCCAUUUCAUUCCGCCCUACACAGGCCAGCCUCCCAGAGCCUUUCAAAGCUGUUGCUGCCCCUCACUACUCCAAAGUACGCCCCUCAUGUCUCAGAGGACAAUAGGGGGACAACUGAGCACGUCAAGUACAAUAUACUCCUGUCUCUCUCAGCUUUUGGAUGCCAUUUUCUCCAUUAAACCAAGGAGUUUCCAGCAUGUCAGCUGCACUCACAUGGGUUUUAAUUAGAGCACAGACGGUCAGCACCACCCAGCCCCCUGGAUCUAGAACCUGUGCUCACCAUCAGGUCAGCUGGAUGGAGGACCAACUUCCCCAAGCCCUGUGCCUGCACGAUGCCAGCUGCCUCCCAGCCCGCCACGCCAGGCCACACAGCUGUGCAGCAGACGUCCUGGCUGACUGAGUCCACGGUCUGCUGCCUGCAGCCACUUCAGGGAGCAAACAUUGGAUCUGCUGGAAAAGAUGCGCUUUCCAAGCUCUUGUUCCUUGAAAGCACCGGAAAGGAAACACUGUCCCACACCUGGGCUGGGCAGAAUUCCUUCUGGGACGAAAUUAACAUUCCUGAUAAAAUGCUCAUGUGAUGGACGGAUGAGCUUUAAUGAUGUAUGGAUGGUUUUGGGGACCAGUCAGCCACCCACCUGGGUGUCAUUCACAGGAGUGAUCUGUCCGCAGAAGUGGUUUCUGUAUCUGGUCUGAGACUGAUACUCCCUCCUACCCUGGGUGGUCUUGGGGUCCUCCCCUUUACAUGCACCUGUCAUAACCUGACCUGCUUGUGACUCCACCGUCUGACAAGCUCUUCACCUCUACACCCUGUUGUCACCCAGGUAAUCCCUGUCUUCCCCAGGCCUCAACUAAGAUGCCCCCUGUGGGAGACUGUGGGGACAGAGUCCCAGAGAGCAGUUUCCAGGCUCUCGGCCUCACAUGGAAAGGUGCUGGCUCGGGUAGUCAAUGGCCAUCAGUUGUGGCAGUGUAACCAGUGAGCCAAUUAGCCACUGAUAUUACUGCCGAGGCUGCGCUGGUUGGUGAGUCGAGAGUGGUGUCGAGUAAGGCGGUCGGUUGACAGGCAGAGAGGCGGACAGCAGGUUGCAGGUCGUGUGACUCCAGCCUCCAAUGAGAUGAUAGUGGUAUGACUCCCCUACCUAUGGCUCCGUGGGUGUUCCUUUUUGGCCUAGUCACAUCCUGCGUUCUUAUGUGGGGAGUGGGACCAGAGACCCCGCAGGCUGCCCCAAACGACAAAUGGCGGAGCGAGCAAGGUCCCCCACACAACAGAGACCCUCCCCGCCUAGAAGUUCUCACGGCCCCUGCUCAGCACUACCCAUCCCCCACACACUGACAGUAACA